rnacentral:lncRNA from 1 species
GGAGAACAGCUAAUCAAAGGCUAGUGCAGAAAACUGAUUUCAGCUGUCUCUUGAUAGGUUUCACAUUUUUCAGUCAUCUUCCCCCCUCCCAAUACAGUCCCCUUCCCUAAAACUGGGAGGAAAGCAAAGGCAAGUUUAAAAUCUCCAGAAAUGCAUGUCUAUCUACAGGAAAUUAAGGUGAGCUGGGAGCUUGAAAACAACUGUGUGCCAUGCCUCUGUAUUCCUGGAUAA